rnacentral:rRNA from 1 species
GACGAACCGUCCUAACGUUGUUCGGAAUCACUGGGCUUAAAGGGCGCGUAGGCGGUCGGCAAAGUCAGGGGUGAAAUCUUUCGGCUUAACCGGAAAAGUGCCUUUGAAACUAGUCGACUCGAGCGAGAUAGGGGCAAUUGGAAUUUCCGGUGGAGCGGUGAAAUGCGUAGAGAUCGGAAAGAACACCAACGGCGAAAGCACUCUGCUGGGCCGACACUGACACUGAGAGACGAAAGCUAGGGGAGCGAAUGGG